UACGGGGGGGGCAAGCGUUGUUCGGAAUUACUGGGCGUAAAGGGCGCGUAGGCGGUUCAUUAAGUUGGAUGUGAAAACUCUGGGCUUAACUCAGAGCCUGCAUUCAAAACUGAUGGGCUGGAGUUCUGGAGGGGAUAGCGGAAUUCCUGGUGUAGCGGUGAAAUGCGUAGAUAUCUGGAGGAACACCGGUGGCGAAGGCGGCGUCCUGGACCAACACUGACACUGAGGCACGAAGGCCAGGGGAGCAAACGGG
rnacentral:rRNA from 1 species